UCCUUCAGGUGCGGCUCCCUUCAGCUGAUGAUUCAAUUCAAAGACACGUGGGCAGCCUGACCAAAACAAGAUGAAGAGCUGUUAACAUGUAUGCUACACCACGCUGCCUCACCUGCUUCAACAUCUGGUGUUUCCUCGCUCUGAGAACUCUGAUCUGUGCUGCAGCUGGAAGGAUUUUCUUUGGAUUAAAGUUUACCUG